GUUCUAGGUGGUCAUUAUGAUUGUGAGUUUGUUAGAAACUUCAUGUUUCAAUAUUUGGUUCAAAUGUUUUAUUUUCUUUAUAACUUUGGCAGAAGCUCAUACAAACAAAAGAUGAGCAUAAGUUUGUUGCAAAAAAUGGUGUACACAAGGCCAGAACAGUGUAGCAGCUUCGCUUAAGUGUCUAUCUAUAGGCAUUUAGAUUCGUAAUUAUUAUUCUCUGUUACAUUUUUUCUAUAAUGGUCCUCAACUUUUGCAGGGAUAUAUAUCAACCCAAACUGUGGUUUAUCUUACUCCCUGAUCUUUUUUCAAGAGUUCCUUCUCCAUUGUUGUGCACCAGAUUAAUAAGGUUACCUAUCUUAUACCUUUUCACUUACAUUUUUUUGUUCAGUUUCUUUGCAAGAGUUCAUUAUCGUAUAUGUGUAUCUAUGUAUACGAAAAUACUUCUCUGCAGAUAAUUGAACUUAAAUUGCUUAGAUGAUUUAGGUUAGUUUGCAGCAGCGGCCAAAACUUCUCUCGGAAUUAGUACUCUCUGUAAGAUUUUUUAUUAGUUUGAGGUUUUUGUAUGUUCUUCAUCGAGUGUCAUUUUCUCUUCUCAGAACUAUGGCUGGGUCAAAUCAAGAGAAGGGUUUUUGAACUGCAAAAUACAAAGAAGGGCUCAAGUGAAGUACUUUCUAUCAUUUCUAAAAUCUCUAACUUCAAACAAAAGUCCCACGGAAACUACAAGUACAAGUACAAAGUUCAAACACAUACACUUCACGUAGAGAACAUUGGUCAAAUAGGCAAAACAAAGACACGUAUACACAACAUUCAAAACAUAAAUUCAAAAACUUCACGACUAGAGAACAAAAUUCAAAUAAGCAAAACAAAUAUACGCAAACACAACACUCAAAACAAAAACUUCACGACCAGAGAACAAAACUCUUAAAAUUGUGGUGUCAAAGGUUCUCCAUCCAAAGCAUUAGUGCAAUGUAGAUGCAGAUGACCGGCUAUAGAAUAGCCUUGUAACAUUCCGAUGGUCACAUCUCCAAUGGGUCCAUGUUCACUCUUAGCUCAUGGGCUCACCUUUCUUUAAAAGCCUCACGUAUAGGCCCGUGAGUCCACCAAUACCCGACGGCCGGUUUUCUAUGUCUUGGAGUCUUAAAAACUUGUUUACCGACUCUUCAAAUCACCACAUGAUCUUUCCCUGCGAUUUGGCCUCACUCGUACAGUUCCGAGAACCCUUUCCCGAAAUGUCACCCAUCCUUUUACUACUCUAGCAUCAGCACACUUAACUGUGGAGUUUUCUCAGGACAUUUAUAAUAGAGGGGUUAAAUUUUGUUUAACUUUUUAUUUUAAUUUUGAUAAAAAAAAAAAAUUAUUUUAAUUUUGAUUUAAAAAAAUAAAAUAAAUAAUAAAUAACAUGACACAUUGUUGUAUUUUGAUUGGUUAGUUAAAAAUGAUUGAAUAAGAUAGGUUCACCCCAAGUAUUGUUCCUUAUUAAGGGGUGGGCAAAAUACCCGCACCUGAAACCCGAACCCAAACCCG
rnacentral:lncRNA from 1 species